rnacentral:rRNA from 1 species
UAGGUAACCUGCCUCAAAGAGGGGAAUAGCCUCCCGAAAGGGAGAUUAAUACCGCAUAAUAUGUUUAAGUCGCAUGAUUUAACAUCAAAGGAUUUUCUUUAGAAAUUCCACUUUGAGAUGGACCGCGGCGCAUUAGCUAGUUGGUGAGGUAACGGCUCACCAAGGCAACGAUGCGUAGCCGACCUGAGAGGGUGAUCGGCCACAUUGGACUGAGACACGGUCCAGACUCCUAGGGAG